CAAAGGAAUUGACGGGGGCCCGCACAAGCGGCGGAGCAUGCGGAUUAAUUCGAUGCAACGCGAAGAACCUUACCAAGGCUUGACAUGAACCGGUAAUACCUGGAAACAGGUGCCCCGCUUGCGGUCGGUUUACAGGUGGUGCAUGGUUGUCGUCAGCUCGUGUCGUGAGAUGUUGGGUUAAGUCCCGCAACGAGCGCAACCCUCGUUCUAUGUUGCCAGCGCGUUAUGGCGGGGACUCAUAGGAGACUGCCGGGGUCAACUCGGAGGAAGGUGGGGACGACGUCAAAUCAUCAUGCCCCUUAUGUCUUGGGCUUCACGCAUGCUACAAUGGCCGGUACAAAGGGUUGCGAUACUGUGAGGUGGAGCUAAUCCCAAAAAGCCGGUCUCAGUUCGGAUUGGGGUCUGCAACUCGACCCCAUGAAGUCGGAGUCGCUAGUAAUCGCAGAUCAGCAACGCUGCGGUGAAUACGUUCCCGGGCCUUGUACACACCGCCCGUCAAGUCACGAAAGUUGGUAACACCCGAAGCCGGUGGCCUAACCCUUGUGGGGGGAGCCGUCGAAGGUGGGACCGGCGAUUGGGACUAAGUCGUAACAAGGUAGCCGUACCGGAAGGUGCGGCUGGA
rnacentral:rRNA from 1 species